rnacentral:rRNA from 1 species
GACGAACGCUGGCGGCGUGCUUAACACAUGCAAGUCGAACGGAAAGGCCCUGCUUUUGUGGGGUGCUCGAGUGGCGAACGGGUGAGUAACACGUGAGUAACCUGCCCUUGACUUUGGGAUAACUUCAGGAAACUGGGGCUAAUACCGGAUAGGAGCUCCUGCUGCAUGGUGGGGGUUGGAAAGUUUCGGCGGUUGGGGAUGGACUCGCGGCUUAUCAGCUUGUUGGUGGGGUAGUGGCUUACCAAGGCUUUGACGGGUAGCCGGCCUGAGAGGGUGACCGGCCACAUUGGACCUGGGUAACGGCCCGAAUCCCAAGGGGGGGCAGCGGGGGGGAUAUUGGCACAAUGGGGGAAGGCUGGAUGCAGCAACGCGGGGGGGGGGAGAACGGCCUUCGGGUGGUAAACCGCUUUCGCUGGUAACGAGGCGGGAUUGACGGUAAUGGGUAAAGAAGCACCGCCUAAUUACGU